rnacentral:rRNA from 1 species
GUCUACGGCCAUACCACCCUGAACGCGCCCGAUCUCCUCUGAUCUAGGAAGCUAAGCAGGGCAGGGCCUGGUUAGUACUUGGAUGGGAGAAAGACACUCCCCUCUCACGCUAGACGCAGACA